AAGUAAGUCCGGUGCGACGAGGACUCACCGAACCCCGCCAGGUCCGGAAGGAAGCAACGGCAGGUCGACAACUUGGGUGAUACCGGGUAGCUUACUUCAG
rnacentral:SRP_RNA from 1 species